UCCAUGUCUCCACUGACAUCCUGAGCCAUGGGACUGCAGAGGGAAACAGCCUUGGAGGACCUUGGGCAUAUGUUGAGAGCAACCUGCCGCACACUGAGCCACGGUGACCUUUUGCGUGCUGCGGCUGAGGCGCUGCUUUGCACGGCGCAAGAUACACAACAACAACAAUACCUCAGGCUGAAUUUAGGAAAUUCGAUUUUCAAGCUGGCUGUUUUCUCUAUCAAGGCUUGGAAAGACUCGAUAGCUCCUAAGGGCAUGUGAAACCAAACUCACCACCCUGAUUCUUAAAAUCCUCAGAAGGUCAACAUUCAGCAAUGCAAAGCACCUGGGCAAAGUUUUGUGUAAUUUUCCAGUGACCUUGAUUAUGCAAUUGGGUAUGGCUGCUGCCCUAGACGACAUCAAAGAUGCCACUCUCAUCAGGUGGCAGGCAGCCCUAGCCAGGGAAGUUUCAGAGCUGCCAGUCACAAAACACACAGAGGCAUCAUCAGUUAGACGAUGAUUUACUGCAAAUCAACUGGAUUAUUUAUUUUCCCUUUCAAACAAGGAGAGGAAGGUCCCAAUCCAGAAACAGCACGUGCAAUUGCUCCAGCCAGGAGCUCAAACCCCACUGAAGAGAAAGGGUUAAAUUCAGCCCCCUUUGAAGUCAGCGAGGGCAGCCCUUCAUCUGCACAGGGCCAGCUCUUCCUCCCAGCACCAAGCGCUUUGAUGAAUCCGCACCGUAACGCCCAAACGAGGUGCAAAGCAACAUCCACGACUCCAGGGUCCCUCCCUGAUGCCGACACAAGGCUUUGGAGCCAGGCUGGAGCCGGGGCUGGGACACUGCCCUUCCACCCUUUCUUCCAGAAACGUCAGGAAUAUCAGGCACCAUCACAGCCCAUACCAUUUCAACUGUCCUGAGACAGAGGGAAAAAAAAUGCUGAGUAAGCCACCAAAAAUUUGAAAGAGUGCGGCCUAGCACUCCCCGAGAGCCGUACCCCGCUGCACAGACACCAGUGCCAGCAGCGCCUCGUGCUCUGGCUGCGCUUCAAGGUGAAACCCAAAAGUGGCCACAGCGGCCUUGGUGCCACUGGGUCGGAAACCAUUUCUGCUCUCCACUGUUUGUCUGAACUUUGGCUGCAGGCAGCCCAGCCUUCCUGCGCACACAGCUCCUGCUGCCACACACGGUCCUGCUGACACGGCUGAGGGGCAGGGCUGUGUCACCUGCUGUCAGCUCUGCAGGGACAUCCUUGAGAGCACGGCCGCUCCCUUCCCCUUGGAUUGCAUGCAGGAAGCUGACAGCUGCCGAGGCGGCAAGAAGUGAGUCCUCUUUGGAGAGAUGCUGUCGGGUUCAGCACCUCUGUGGAGCAUUGCUGGAAUGCAAAGCAUCUGGAGCAGAUGUGGAAACGUGAUAAGGAUCCUUGCUGUCCUUAAAAACACUAUGAAGUGGCCGGGUAGGGAUUCCCCUGGCAAAGGGAGAUUCCCCACCUGGCACCAAGCAGAUCUCAGUUGCCAGUGAGGCUCUGGGACCACCACAGGCAGCCCACCCUCAGGUCCCUGAGGAGAUCUCUGCUGUGGGUGGCACCCUGUCGCCUGCUCUCCUGUCUCCUUUGCAAGGGGACACCCCAGCUGGAGACAGGCCACCCCUCUCCUCCCUGGCCUGUGCAGCCAGUUACGGUUUAUGCAUAAAGGCACAGACAGAGAAAGAAACAGAGCAAUGAGAGGAGCUCUGGGCCAACAUGAGCCACACAGUACUGCAGCUGUAUUGGGCAGGUGGCCCCCACAGGCCCCUUGCUCUGACACCACGGCUGGCAAAGGCGUCCCUGCGCCCCUGGGCACCCAUCAGCAUAACAACAGCCCAUCUGCAGGGCACCACUCAGCACCUACAGCAGCACCAGGACUCUCAGUACAGAGAGAUCCCAAACCAAAUUAAUUCUUUCUCUACAUGACGUCUACAUGCACAGUGCAAGCAACAAUCUGUUUAUUGUACAAAUGACACUCAUAGCUGCUUCUUUUCCCUGAGGCUGGACACCUAAACUGCCAUUACUGUCACUGCUAUGAAAAGCAUUGAAUUACCUACAGGUAUGUGCCAUUUACAAAGCAGAGGCGGCAGACAUGAGGCACAUUUGGAUGCCUUAAUUAACUUGAAGAAUUAUGAAGCCAUGCCUGUAACUGAACUAUAGUCUUGCCUUCUGUAAACCGUUUGACAUAAGAAUGAUGAGUAUAAGAAUUAGAUGUAGGAAUACAUCUAAAUAUUUAUACUACAUUCAUUACACCAGUAUCUGAGCACAUGUUUAUGUUGUAAGCUCCACUUUUACAUCCGUUCAUUUUGCUUUGCUGUGUAACCCCAGGUUAGCCACUGCUCAGUGCCACGGUGCCUUUCUUCGGGCACUGACUUGGUUCUGGGAUGAUUCAGGGUAAAGCUCUUUCUCUGGGCAAUGCAUUUCCAUUCUCUUGGUGCAAGACUUGCUGAGGCUUCAAAACCAGGACCAAGGUUUGACCAGACUUCUGACCUAAACCAGGCUGGCAACCCCUACCCCAACAAACCGAACCUCCUCACGUCGUAUUUCAAAGUCCUCUGACGCAGGGCAAGGAAAUGCUGUGGCUGGGAUCCAGUAGCUGCUGUCAUCAAAAUGCUGACAGAAACAGAGGUUAAGGGUACUAAAUAUUUCACUGUUAACAAAGCCAAUUUAACACGGGUUUUUGAAGACUGGGGAGACGGGGACUCUGCCAGCACUGAUACUGAAAUACACACAAAGCUCUGAAACUAAUUUUGAGUAAGGUUUUAGAAAUCUUCCCAUUAGAUGAAAUAAUUGUGCAUUUUGAUCAAAUGUUUUCCUCUGUCUUUAAUGCUUGUUCUUGUUUAAAAUGUUAACCAGUAAAAUGAAUAAAAUUAAUUUUUGGGGAGCAAAGUCAACAUAUUUGAUUUUGAAAAGUUCAGGACAGGGUUUCUUGUGCCUUGGCAUUUUGUUCCUAAAAUAAAUUUGCUAAUAAAUUGUUAUCCAGAAUUAUCCAUCUAAUUCUACAAUUAUUAUAGCAAAAAGCAAUCUUAGCAAUUAUACACUCUCUCACACACAGGAAUUUACCUUUUUUUGCCCACGGAACAGAGUUGCAAGUGCUGCAGGCAGAAUUUUUGACCAAAGGGCCAUUUUGUUUAGCAAGCUAAAUGGUUGGACAGGGUAUUUCUAAUUUUUUCUACUAGACACAAUGACCCUGUCCCCUUUCCUCAUUCCAGAAGAUCUCUUGAAGUCAGCAUCUUCAGGGAGGUGGUCCCAGCAGAGGCUUUCCCCCAACCACCUUGAUUCUACAUUUCCAGCCCAUCUUCUAGCACUCCAGGCAACAGACACAGUGUCAUCACAGGCUCAAUGACUGACGGCUCCCUCCAUGAAGCUCAGUCAUUUAGCAUUGUCACUUUGUUUCUACAAAGCUGUUCUGUCGUUUCCGUGACUGCCCUUCUUUCCCCUCCACGCACACGAUUUCCCCAGUCAGUGCCCUAAGCCGAGCUCUGAAAUGUAGCAGCUCCCUUGCCGUCCUCCUUGAAAAAUGAGUUUUGCUUUGUAAGGGAAAAUUCUGUUUUGCCAGCAAGGUGAAGAGCAGGAAUGCCAUCCUGGUCUCUGCAGCCACAUCUCCAGGGGAGUGGGUGGGAGGUGUUGGCCACUGCUGGCGGCAGAGCCUGGGAGAGCCAAUUUAGGUGGGACAGGGAUUUGCCCCCUGGACACGCGCUGGCAGGUGGCUGCUGGGGAGCCCAGGCUCCUUGCUAAGGGCCAUUUGCAUUACAGGAAUGCCUCUCACCUCCAUCUCUGUCUCUCACAGCAGUUUUGAUUACCGGGAUUCAGCCCCAGACUGUUUCAUCCUAUUCCUGCUUCAUCCACCUGCUAUUAUCUCCCGCCGUUCUUGAGAAAUUACUGCCAAAUUAUGCUGGUCUCUCUUUUUUUCCUCCCCAUCAUUAAUUUCUUUUCUAGGGUGGAGAGCUUCCCAGAUCACCCUCCACCCACUUACACACAUGCAUGCACACACACACACACUUUAUAGAAAGUGUUUACUUAUGCGGGGGCAAUAGUUUAAAAGGUAAAUGAAAUAGAGGACGCAGCCUGGAUUGGCUUAGCAACACAAACAGUGCCAGCAGGUAAAGGGCCCAGGCCUGUUCUUUCCCACCUCAGAAUUGUUUUAAAAUGACACCCCUUCAUAAUUAAUUGUACAGCACCUGAUUAGUCACUAUUGACAGACCUAGAGCCAAUUGACUUUUUUCUCUUCUUUUUUAUUUUUUUUUUUUCAUCUGGCUGGGUAGAAAAUAUGAAGUGCCUGUAGCCACACACACAAUAUACCUUCUGGUGAUUACAUCAGGCAGCUGAGCAAUUAGAGCUCGUAGGAUCAGCUCAGGAGCUGGAGGCUACAGCAGCAGGAUCACAGCCCAACCUUACCCUUUAAUAUGAAAAUGAAGAAGGGAAGCAACAAAUUCAAUAAACCCUAAAAGUCAAACAAAGCCAACUGGGAGCUCAUUUUUGAUAAGCUGAAGGAAGAAAUGGAGCUGAUAAAGCCGUGUGCUUCUUCUACUGCUCUGGUCUCUCUCCUGCAUGAGGAGGAUUAAAUUAGCCAGGAGGCAGACCUAAGUGAGAAGGCAACCCCAGUGGCAGAAAAUGUGUGUGUGGUUCAUCAGCAAUGGAGUUGGGUCAGAAGGGGUGGGUUUGUACCCCUUUCCACUUCCAGGCAUCUGUGAGCACUUUGCAAAGCAAAUGAGUUUGCUGUGGGACAGGGCAAGGACACAUCCUACCAGGGGAAGCUACAGGCAGCCUUCGCUCACCUUGAUCUAAAACACCAUUAUCUUACUUGAAACUUUGGAAAAACAAAGUCAGUCUCCACCACCAGGAAUGCAGUUGAGGUCCUCCAUCUCCAGAUCUCCAGCAGCCCAAUUCCAGACCUGCUGCUUCCACGCACUCCAGUCAGCCUGGUAUCAGCUCAGCCCAGCCAUUGUACAACCCAGUAAAGCCGAGUCCUGCCCCUGUGCAAACACUUUACUCCCAAAGAAGAGGAUCUGUACAAGACCUCAGCCAACUUCAGAGUACUUCUGAGUGAGGUAUUAAGCCAAUAUCAGUGUCUACACAGGCGUUUGCUCCAGAGUGAGUUAAUCAGUUUAAACCCAUACCUUUGGGUAAAUACUUGUGUGCAGGCAGACAAUGACUUGGGAUUUGACCAAAGCGCGGUGAAUACAAUGUGAAUGAA